CCGAGGGGGCCGCAGUGAAAAGGCCCAAGCGACUGUUUAGCAAAAACACAGGUCUGUGCGAAGCCGCAAGGCGAAGUAUACGGGCUGACGCCUGCCCGGUGCUGGAAGGUUAAGGGGAGUGGUAAGCUCGCAAGAGCGAAGCUAUGAACCGAAGCCCCAGUAAACGGCGGCCGUAACUAUAACGGUCCUAAGGUAGCGAAAUUCCUUGUCAGGUAAAUUCUGACCCGCACGAAUGGCGUAACGACUUGGGCGCUGUCUCAACGAGAGAUCCGGUGAAAUUUUAAUACCUGUGAAGAUGCAGGUUACCCGCGACAAGACGGAAAGACCCCAUGGAGCUUUACUGCAGCUUGAUAUUGAAUUUGGGUACGAUCUGUACAGGAUAGGUGGGAGCCGUUGAAUCUUGAGCGCCAGCUUGAGAGGAGGCAUCCUUGGGAUACCACCCUGAUCGUAUCUAGGUUCUAACUUGGUACCGUGAUCCGGUACGAGGACAGUGUCAGGUGGGCAGUUUGACUGGGGCGGUCGCCUCCUAAAGAGUAACGGAGGCGCCCCAAGGUUCCCUCAGAAUGGUUGGAAAUCAUUCGAAGAGUGCAAAGGCAGAAGGGAGCUUGA
rnacentral:rRNA from 1 species